GGAGAUCCUUGCAUACCUGAGGGUAUUCUGAAGUCUUUCUGACUUGGGGAAAUAUCUGGCAAAGUGUUGCAGCUGCCCCACCAGAGUGCUGUGCAUGCUCAGCUGUGCAGCUCCAGCUUUGUGGCCGUGUGCCUUGUCAUUCUGCUCGAGUCCAGGAGCUCAGUGCAUGUUCAGGGUUACCAGAGCCCUGUGAUGGUCUCCAUAUGGGCUACAGUGGGUUUGGGACUCCAGCUGUUCCCACUAUUGCUCAGCAGCACAGGUGGAAGAGGAGAGAUGCAAUGGAGAACCUCACUGGCUGAGAAAGAGCAGGAGAUUACUUACCAGUUACUGUCAGCAGCAAAAAAAAAGACUUAACUUGUAGAAGUCUCAGUAUUGGCAUACUGGAAUGAAAGUUUUGCUGUUCGUUGUGCUUGACUUCUACUCUACUCUGCUGGUCAGGGAGGAUGGCUGUGCACUUUCAACCUGAACUCUCUUCUUUCUGAAAGUGCCAUAACGAGAACCGGAAAGUGACUGUGUGAGACUACUUGUUUUGGGAAAGCGUUUGUUAAUUUUUGAAAUUGUCUCUUUCCUGAUAGAUAUGUGCUAGGUAAAAGAAGAGGCUGUUAAAAGAGGUGGCUGAUUUCAGUGUCUCAUUUUGAGAAGUUCUGUCUUGUUUCCCUCCUGCAGGGCAGGUUCUGAAGCACUCAGAUCAGGCGUUCAUUGUUCAUACAAGAUGUGGAGUGAAUGGAUCUGUAGCUCAGGGAGCUGUAAUGGUCAGGACUGUCUGCUGUAACGCGAAGCCCCAUGGUUACUCUGAUUUCCAGCCACAGCAACGUCUUCA